rnacentral:rRNA from 1 species
AGUGAACGCUGGCGGUAGGCCUAACACAUGCAAGUCGAACGGCAGCACAGUAAGAGCUUGCUCUUACGGGUGGCGAGUGGCGGACGGGUGAGGAAUACAUCGGAAUCUACUUUCUCGUGGGGGAUAACGUAGGGAAACUUACGCUAAUACCGCAUACGACCUACGGGUGAAAGCAGGGGAUCUUCGGACCUUGCGCGAUUGAAUGAGCCGAUGUCGGAUUAGCUAGUUGGCGGGGUAAAGGCCCACCAAGGCGACGAUCCGUAGCUGGUCUGAGAGGAUGAUCAGCCACACUGGAACUGAGACACGGUCCAGACUCCUACGGGAGGCAGCAGUUGGGAAUAUUGGACAAUGGGCGCAAGCCUGAUCCAGCCAUACCGCGUGGGUGAAGAAGGCCUUCGGGUUGUAAAGCCCUUUUGUUGGGAAAGAAAAGCAGCAGGUUAAUACCCCGCUGUUCUGACGGUACCCAAAGAAUAAGCACCGGCUAACUUCGUG